rnacentral:rRNA from 1 species
GACUCUUGGCAACGGAUAUCUUGGCUCACGCAUCGAUGAAGAACGUAGCAAAAUGCGAUACUUGGUGUGAAUUGCAGAAUCCCGUGAACCAUCGAGUUUUUGAACGCAAGUUGCGCCCGAAGCCUUUUGGUCAAGGGCACGUCUGCCUGGGUGUCACAU